GAUUAAGCUACAAAGAGCAUAUGGAGGAUGCCUUGGCACUAGGCGCCGAUGAAGGACGUGACAAGCUGCGAUAAGCUACGGGGAGUUGCUAAUGAACUGUGAUCCGUAGAUUUCCGAAUGUGGAAACACACUGUUUUUAAUCAAACAGUAUUAUAACAUGAAUACAUAGUGUUAUAAGGGGAACCCAGGGAACUGAAACAUCUUAGUACCUGGAGGAAAAGAAAGUAAACAAACGAUUGCGGUAGUAGUGGCGAGCGAACCCGCAAGAGCCCAAACCCGCCCUAGUAAUAGGUCGGGGGUUCGGACCCCAACGUGGUAUUGCAAUGCAUAGACGAAGAUUUCUGGAAAGUUAAGCGAAACAGGGUAAUAGCCCCGUAGUCGAAAUGCAAAACAAACCUAGGGUGAUCCAGAGUAGCGCAGGACACGUGAAAUCCGGCGUGAAUGAGCGAGGACCAUCUCGUAAGGCUAAAUACGACCUAGUGACCGAUAGCGUACAGUACCGUGAGGGAACGGUGAAAAGAACCCCGGGAGGGGA
rnacentral:rRNA from 1 species